CUCGGGCAGCUCCUGCAGCGUCAGCGUCCAUUCCAGCGGCGCGUCGCACGGCGUCACCGUCACCGACAGCGGCGUGUUGUCCUCUUCCACCACAAAGUAGUACCUGGGAGGAACCAUGACGGAUACCCGCCCGGAUGUAGCCGCUGAUCUCGGCGCCGUCGGGAAGGACCGACGAGUCGUGGAAGAUGGACUUGUCUCGGAUCUGCAUCUGGAAAAGUCCCUCAUCUCGCGUGGGCAGCUUCUGCGCCGCAGUCCGCAGAAAACCCAGCAGGACCAGGAACUGCAGUGCACAUUUGGCAAAAUGCAGCUCAACUCGUCAAGUCAAGAUUGACAACAACCUCUCGACCCGACGCCCAAGUCGACGAGGGAAGCCUUCAACUGCACGUGAAAAGCGGCGUGUGAUCAUUUGUCCAUCCUUCCAUUUUUUUCCCGAGACGCUUAUCCUCACGAGGCCAAUCCCAGCUGUCAUCAAGCAGGAGGUGAGGUACACCCUGAACCGGUCGCCGGCCAGUCGCAGGGAACAUCGACACAAAUGACCAUUCGCACCUACAGGCAAUUUAGAGUCUCCGAUGAACGCAUGUUUUUUGGGGGGAUGUGGGAGGAAACCGGAGUGCCUGGAAAGAAAACCGACGCGUGUGCAGGGGAGAACGUGCAAACUCCACACAGGCAAGCUCAGGAUUUGAACCCCGGUCCUCCGAACUGUGAGACAGACGUUUUGGCCACUUACUCCACUGUGGCCCUGAUGAUUUGACAACGGCGCAAAUUCCUGGCAGGCGCGCGGACGUUUUUGCCGUUUUGCAGGAAAUAGCAGAAGACGACGGCAAAAUGUCAUCCGUAGCAGUCGUCGGGUGAUGUUUUCAAUGACUGGAGAGGCGUCAACUUAACUUUUGUCACGUUAGCGCGAGGAGGCGGGGCACACCCUGAACUGGUCGCCAGCCAGUCGCACGUUCCCACUCACAAUCACACCUACGGGCAAGUUACAGUGUCCAGUUAAUGUUGCGUGUGUUUGGGAUGCGGGAGGAAAGUCCACGCAGGCGGGACCGGGACUCGAACCCCGGUCCUCGGAACUGCGCGGCCGACGCUUUCGAGCUGCUCCACCGUCCCGCUUUUGUUCAUCUCUUUUGAACCAAAACCCAUCCAGGCAAGGGAGGCGCCGCGGCGGAUUUCGUGGGAAAGGACGUCCAUCAUCCCCUCAAGAACCAGCGAGGCGAUGACAUCGGGGUGGGGUCGGGGGGCCUCGUGGGAAAAUCGAACGCCCCGUGCCCGAGAAGCAAACCCCACAUCAUGUCCGACGGACGGGAUGUUGUCAUCUGCCGUAUCCGCCCGGAACGAUGGACCGCAAAGCCUCCCGUAUCAUACGCCGGCCACAAAUGAUCCGUCCAUCAAUCCGAGCAGAUAUGAAAACAAUCUGAAUUUGUCCUUCCAAACAAAUUGUGGCAAAAAGAAGCACAUCAACUGCGACUGUACUGCAGUAAAAAAAAGUUGAACGGACAAGUGGGGCGCGCUCGGCGGCCCGAACGCGAGUCAGAGUCGCUCGGCGCCAUUUAAUCCGCCGACGCUUUGAGAAUGACUGAUUUGGGCAUUAGCGCUUAGCCUUAGCGCUUAGCCCCGCUCCACAAUAACUGCGGCAACACUGGCGGAAUUUCUUUCAGCGCCAAGUUUUCAUAUGCAAAUGCCGCUUUAGUUACGCUACGCCACGCGGACCUUCCCCAUUUCGAGACUUUUUUUUUUUUUUUACUCCUUUUUUUUGUUGUUGUUCAUCAUUCAUUGUGGCUUCACCCCAACCCCCCUAAACGCACCAAUUCACACUUUAACCCAGACCUCCCUGACCCCCCACCCCCUCUAAACGCCACCGACUGCAAUCGCUUACCUACACAUUCUGUGCUCUACAUUGAAAUAAAAAUAUCCGGUGAAUCACGUCAAACUCUUCACAGCGGGACGCAUUUUGAGCCCCCGACCCUGGAUUUGGAAACCCCCAAUUCCGUGAUUUCCGACCUUUAUGGAGCCAAAGCGGAUACAAAAUUAUUACAACUGAAAAAUCUCACGGCACACCACGGACGGACAAUCAUUUCCUCUUUCUGCCUCACCGCCAUAAAUACAGCAACAAAGAUCAAUAUGCUUCUUGUCAAUAAUUCAUCUUUUUGGAGCAAUUGAGAAAAAUUCUUGUCAUUUCCCGCCAAUGUUGGGAACCACGGCCCGAAUUCAAACAACCGUCCAGAAUUUCAGAGACCUGAAAGAAAACCAUUCUCACACAAAUAAAGCAAAUGAAUGAUUAUUGAAAAUAUGAUAUUUACAGACAGGCCACUUUCGCAGACACCCGAGGCCAUGGCAACCAAAAAAAAAAGAAAAAUGAAAAAUGGUGCACGUUCAUGAUGUGUUCAGCAAAGACUAAAACUUUACUCAUCAAAACACGAGCGGUGCGUUCAGGGUCAGCAAGUCAAACUGAGCAUAACGGUGCGGAAUUGGUGAACUCGUGGUGAGUUCAAGGUCUGCAACUCCAAUUUGGCUUGAAAAGUGAUGCAUUCCAAACUAAUGCUACGUUCACGGUCCGCAACAUUUGAUGAAUUUAAAAAAAAAAAAAAGUGAUCUCUUGGAUGAAAACACCAGUGGUGCGUUCAGGGUCUGCAUUUCAAUCAAGUGGUUUCCCGAGUAUAUUUUCUUGGAACGAUCACACUGGUGCUGCAUUUGGGGUUCGCAAUCCGCAAUAAUCGUAAUUGAAAGGAGUUAAAGCACAAAAAGAGUGGUUGAAUUAAAAGGCAAGUGGUGCGUUCAGGGUUAACGAGUCAAUCUUUUGAGUGCGCAGUGAAAACAAAAUGCUUUCAUUCAUAAAAAAAAUAAAAACUAAUUAAAGUGGCAUUUGUUGAAUUCAAAUACUACAGAAUUCAAAUGUUUCCGAUUGUAAUUGUUUGUAAACAGUAAAUGUUGAGUUGGUGGUCCGAAAAUGGACAAAUACAUUUCUUGGAUGCUGAGUUCAGGGUUGCCGAAUUGAACUUUUGAGUGCAAAAUAAAACCAUGGUGCGUUCAAUGUCUGCAAUUCAAACUGUGCAAGUCGUCUUCAACAAACGACGACUGUUGCGUUCAGGCUCCGCGAUUGACCAUUGUCAGAUGUCGGAUUCCCAACACGAGCGUCCACAAACUCCCGACGUCACCCAAGUGAUGAAUCCGAAACCCCGAACGGUGCGUUCAGGCUCCGCUCGCCAAAAUUUGCCUGCGAUCGCAUCCCUGCAACCUCUUUGAAACUUUUUCCUCCUUGUUUUAAAACGUCCCGGAGACGCGACCCGCUCACGCCCGUGGAAAAAAACAACAAUCGUCGUUUUUAAAAAAAAAAUAAAAUAAAAAUAGACGCCACUUCCUCGUUUCCGCUUUGAAGGAAAAGCCCGGAAAAAAAAAAUUGGAAAAUAAACCGAAGCGAAGAAGAAGUUGCUCGAACGCAGCGAGCACGAGCGCAGCAACCAGACGCGAAGAAGACGAAGACGACGACGAAGACGACAGCGCAGACCCGAGUCGCGAGUCGCGAGUCGCGCUCUUGUUACCUUCGUCGAGGAGACGUCCGGUGCCGUGCCGAGAU